rnacentral:rRNA from 1 species
UACGGAGGAUCCGAGCGUUAUCCGGAUUUAUUGGGUUUAAAGGGAGCGUAGGUGGAUUGUUAAGUCAGUUGUGAAAGUUUGCGGCUCAGCCGUAAAAUUGCAGUUGAAACUGGCAGUCUUGAGUACAGUAGAGGUGGGCGGAAUUCGUGGUGUAGCGGUGAAAUGCUUAGAUAUCACGAAGAACUCCGAUUGCGAAGGCAGCUCACUAGACUGCAACUGACACUGAUGCUCGAAAGUGUGGGUAUCAAACAGG